UACGGGGGAUGCAAGCGUUAUCCGGAUUUAUUGGGUUUAAAGGGUGCGUAGGCUGUGAGGUAAGUCAGCGGUGAAAUGCCCCCGCUCAACGGGGUGAAGUGCCAUUGAUACUGCCUUGCUGGAAUGCGGAUGCCGUGGGAGGAAUGUGUGGUGUAGCGGUGAAAUGCAUAGAUAUCACACAGAACACCGAUUGCGAAGGCAUCUCGCGAAUCCGCGAUUGACGCUGAUGCACGAAAGCGUGGGUAUCAAACAGG
rnacentral:rRNA from 1 species